GGAGAGAUGGCAGAGUGGUUGAAUGCACCGCACUCGAAAUGCGGCAUACUGUAAAAGGUAUCGAGGGUUCAAAUCCCUCUCUCUCCA
rnacentral:tRNA from 1 species